rnacentral:misc_RNA from 1 species
AACGCACGAGACCUGCGGACCUGCGGAGGGAUCAUUACCGAGUUAUCCAACUCCCAACCCCUGUGAAUUAUACCUUUAAUUGUUGCUUCGGCGGGACUUCGCGCCCGCCGGGGACCCAAACCUUCUGAAUUUCUUAAUAAGUAUCUUCUGAGUGGUUAAAAAAAUGAAUCAAAACUUUUAGCAACGGAUCUCU